AGUGAACGCUGGCGGUAGGCCUAACACAUGCAAGUCGAACGGCAGCACAGUAAGAGCUUGCUCUUACGGGUGGCGAGUGGCGGACGGGUGAGGAAUACAUCGGAAUCUACUUUUUCGUGGGGGAUAACGUAGGGAAACUUACGCUAAUACCGCAUACGACCUACGGGUGAAAGUAGGGGAUCUUCGGACCUUGCGCGAUUGAAUGAGCCGAUGUCGGAUUAGCUAGUUGGCGGGGUAACGGCCCACCAAGGCGACGAUCCGUAGCUGGUCUGAGAGGAUGAUCAGCCAAACGGAAACUGAGACACGGUCCAGACUCCAACGGGAGGCAGCAGGGGGGAAUAUUGGACAAUGGGCGCAAGCCUGAUCCAGCCAUACCGCGUGGGUGAAGAAGGCCUGCGGGUUGUAAAGCCCUUUUGUUGGGAAAGAAAAGCAGCAGGUUAAUACCCCGCUGUUCGGACGGUACCCAAAGAAUAAGCACCGGCUAACUUCGU
rnacentral:rRNA from 1 species